UUAAGUUCAGCGGGUAUCCCUACCUGAUCCGAGGUCAAUCAUUGGAGAAGUAAAGGUUUUUGGCAGAUCGCAGCGCGAAGGCUUCCAAAGCGGGAUGUAAUUUACUACGCUUGAAGUCACGCCGGACCGCCACUCGUUUUCGGGCCCGUCCGCGAGGACGAGAGCCCAACACCAAGCUACGCUUGAGGGGUGCAAUGACG
rnacentral:misc_RNA from 1 species